UUUAUUUUAUUCUUCAACAUUAAGGUAACUGCAAACAUAUUGUUGAAGGAAAUAUAAAAGGUACCUCUCUGGCUUUAGUCUGCAAUAACUUAAAGAAACGGACCCAGA
ensembl:misc_RNA